AAUGUCAUGUCGAUCCAACCAUUACGGCGCUAAAAUGGUAAUGGAACACUACUUGACUGAGCCUACUAUGCUAUAUCUAAGACGUGUCAUGAUCAUCCGGUAAUACUCCAUGGGGAUUUCAACGCUAAAACUUAAGUACCCACAAGCAGCAUUGCAACAAGCUGUGAGUUCUUGCGGCUGGCUCCUA